rnacentral:rRNA from 1 species
CGGGGUGCAGCAGGCGCGAAACCUCUGCAAUAGGCGAAAGCUUGACAGGGUUACUCUGAGUGAUUUCCGUUAAGGAAAUCUUUUGGCACCUCUAAAAAUGGUGCAGAAUAAGGGGUGGGCAAGUCUGGUGUCAGCCGCCGCGGUAAUACCAGCACCCCGAGUGGUCGGGACGUUUAUUGGGCCUAAAGCAUCCGUAGCCGGUUCUACAAGUCUUCCGUUAAAUCCAACUGCUUAACAGGUGGGCUGCGGAAGAUACUAUAGAUCUAGGAGGCGGGAGAGGCAAGCGGUACUCGAUGGGUAGGGGUAAAAUCCGUUGAUCCAUUGAAGACCACCAGUGGCGAAGGCGGCUUGCCAGAACGCGCUCGACGGUGAGGGAUGAAAGCUGGGGGAGCAAACCGGAUUAGAUACCCGGGUAGUCCCAGCUGUAAACGAUGCAGACUCGGUGAUGAGUUGGCUAUAUGCCAUCUCAGUGCCGCAGGGAAGCCGUUAAGUUUGCCGCCUGGGGAGUACGGUCGCAAGACUGAAACUUAAAGGAAUUGGCG